rnacentral:rRNA from 1 species
GAUGAACGCUGGCGGCGUGCCUAAUACAUGCAAGUCGAACGGGAAAGCUGGUUUCGAUCAGCUGGAGAGUGGCGCACGGGUGAGUAACACGUAGCUAACCUGCCCUGAAGAGUGGGAUAACGCCCCGAAAGGGGUGCUAAUACCACAUAAGCUCACGUUGAGUAGGUAGAUGUGAGAAAAAGUUCAGGCGCUUUGGGAGGGGGCUGCGGCCCAUCAGGUAGUUGGUAGGGUAACGGCCUACCAAGCCGACGACGGGUAGGGGACCUGAGAGGGUGACCCCCCACACUGGGACUGAGACACGGCCCAGACUCCUACGGGAGGCAGCAGUAAGGAAUAUUGCACAAUGGGCGCAAGCCUGAUGCAGCGACGCCGCGUGGGUGAAGAA